rnacentral:rRNA from 1 species
AAGCCUCUAAGCAUAUCCAUAGUCGUCCGUACCGCAAACCGACACAGGUAGAUGAGAUGAGUAUUCUAAGGCGCGUGAAAGAACUCUGGUUAAGGAACUCUGCAAACUAGCACCGUAAGUUCGCGAUAAGGUGUGCCGCAGCAAUGCGGUCUCAGCAAAGAGUCCCUCCCGACUGUUUACCAAAAACACAGCACUUUGCCAACUCGUAAGAGGAAGUAUAAGGUGUGACGCCUGCCCGGUGCUCGAAGGUUAAGAGGAUGCGUCAGUCGCAAGAUGAAGCGUUGAAUUGAAGCCCGAGUAAACGGCGGCCGUAACUAUAACGGUCCUAAGGUAGCGAAAUUCCUUGUCGGUUAAAUACCGACCUGCAUGAAUGGCGUAACGAGAUGGGAGCUGUCUCAACCAGAGAUUCAGUGAAAUUGUAGUGGAGGUGAAAAUUCCUCCUACCCGCGGCAAGACGGGAAGACCCCGUGGACCUUUACUACAACUUAGCACUGCUAACGGGAAUAUCAUGCGCAG